AUUGAACGCUGGCGGCAGGCCUAACACAUGCAAGUCGAGCGGAUGAAGGGAGCUUGCUCCUGGAUUCAGCGGCGGACGGGUGAGUAAUGCCUAGGAAUCUGCCUGGUAGUGGGGGAUAACGUCCGGAAACGGGCGCUAAUACCGCAUACGUCCUGAGGGAGAAAGUGGGGGAUCUUCGGACCUCACGCUAUCAGAUGAGCCUAGGUCGGAUUAGCUAGUUGGUGGGGUAAAGGCCUACCAAGGCGACGAUCCGUAACUGGUCUGAGAGGAUGAUCAGUCACACGGGAACUGAGACACGGCCAGACUCCUACGGGAGGCAGCAGUGGGGAAUAUUGGACAAUGGGCGAAAGCCUGAUCCAGCCAUGCCGCGUGUGUGAAGAAGGUCUUCGGAUUGUAAAGCACUUUAAGUUAGGAGGAAGGGCAGUAAGUUAAUACCUUGCUGUUUUGACGUUACCAACAGAAUAAGCACCGGCUAACUUCGUG
rnacentral:rRNA from 1 species